AAUUCUCAACCCCUCCAGUUGUGAUGGGGCUUGGAUAUGGGGGCUUGCGGGUCUUUACUGAUGUAAAGGUCAGCUCUCCUGAAAUACAUUAGCGGAACCGUUUGCAGUCCCGUCACUGGUGUGAUAAUUAUCUACGCUGUGAUGGAUUGCUCUCUGACUAGUUCAGCUGCUAAUCGUCCGUUAUGGACAAUGUUUAAUGAACUUC
rnacentral:misc_RNA from 1 species